UACGAAGGGUCCAAGCGUUAUCCGGAUUUAUUGGGUUUAAAGGGUGCGUAGGCGGCCUAUUAAGUCAGUGGUGAAAGCCCGCAGCUUAACUGCGGAACUGCCAUUGAUACUGAUGAUCUUGAGUAUGAUUGAGGUGGGCGGAAUGUGUCAUGUAGCGGUGAAAUGCUUAGAUAUGACACAGAACACCGAUUGCGAAGGCAGCUCACUAAGCCAUAACUGACGCUGAUGCACGAAAGCGUGGGGAGCAAACAGG
rnacentral:rRNA from 1 species